CAGCUAAUGUGGAGGAGGAGAGUCUGGAUGUAAUAUCUUGCAGCAGCCGCGUCGACUGCGACCAAAUAUCCUCCUGGGUGGACGCUUUUGAUCCAUAUUUAUUCAUCAAACAGCUGCCGCCGUUAGAGAGUGUAUCGACACGUGCGCUGCGGGCGCGCUGCCCCGCGCUGCCGCUCAAGACCAGGACCAGCCCGGACUUCAGUCUGGUGCUGGACCUGGACGAGACGCUGGUGCACUGCUCGCUGCAGGAGUUGCCUGACGCCAGCUUCCACUUCCCGGUGCUCUUCCAGGACUGCAGAUACACUGU